rnacentral:rRNA from 1 species
UACGUAGGGGGCAAGCGUUGUCCGGAAUUAUUGGGCGUAAAGAGCGCGUAGGCGGUCCGGUAAGUCGGCUGUGAAAGUCAAGGGCUCAACCCUUGAAAGCCGGCCGAUACUGUCGGACUAGAGUCCGGAAGAGGCGAGUGGAAUUCCCGGUGUAGCGGUGAAAUGCGCAGAUAUCAGGAAGAACACCCGUGGCGAAGGCGGCUCUCUGGGACGGUACUGACGCUGAGACGCGAAAGCGUGGGGAGCGAACAGG